CGAAAGCCUGACGGAGCAACGCCGCGUGUGGGAAGAAGGCCUUUGGGCUGUCAACCACUUUUCUCAGGGAAGAAGUUCUGACGGUACCUGAGGAAUCAGCCUCGGCUAACUCCGUGCCAGCAGCCGCGGUAAUACGGAGGAGGCAAGCGUUAUUCGGAAUUAUUGGGCGUAAAGCGUCCGCAGGUGGUGAGUCAAGUCUGCUGUCAAAGCCAGGAGCUCAACUCCGGUUCGGCAGUGGAAACUGGUGAGCUAGAGGGCGACAGGGGUAGAGGGAAUUCCCAGUGUAGCGGUGAAAUGCGUAGAGAUUGGGAAGAACACCGGUGGCGAAAGCGCUCUACUGGGUCGCACCUGACCCUCAGGGACGAAAGCUAAGGUAGCG
rnacentral:rRNA from 1 species